AUGUGUGGCAGAACAUUAGUCGCGGACGUCGAGGUUCCCGUGGUGACGCGGAAGGUGAUGGAGGUCACGGUGUGGCCCGAGAAUAAGAAGCACCGACGAGGAGGUGGUGGGGGUCGACUCUUCACGGGGCACGGUGGGCGUAGGGGGCUCGAGCUGGACAACGACAAGGAGGACUUUGAGGCCGAUUUUGAGGACUAUGACCUGGAGCUCGGGCGCGGUGGAGUUGAUGAGAAGGAAGACGACGACGAGUCCCUCUCCCAAGAUGACUUAAGCACCAUGCCUACUGCUAGUUUUGACGGUCCUUCAGAAAGGCCAGCAAAAAGGAAGAGAAAGAACCAAAUAAAGGCUAUCUGUCAACGCCCCUUGGGUAGGUGGGAUGCUGAAAUCAGAGAUCCUAGCAAGGGUGUCCAUGUUUGGCUCGGUACUUUCAACAGUGUUGAAGAAGCUGGAAGAGCUUAUGAUGUUGAAGCACGCAAGAUCCGUGGCAAGAAGGCCAAGGUUAGCUUUCCAGAGGAACCAACAGGAUUUGCUGACUUUGCAUCAAACCAGCCACCUAUUCCUGCAAUGAACUCUGAUGCCCCUGUUGAAGCUCCUGAUAUGGAUAUCUAUUCUGACCAGGGAAGUAACUCUUUGUCCUGCUCUGACCUGGGCUGGGAGUAUGACACCAACAGUCUAGAUAUAUCAUCCAUUGCUCCCAUCUCUACCAUUGCUCAAGGAGCAAAAUCUGCGCUUGUCAAGAAUAACACCUAUAACUCAUUGGUGCCUCAUGUUAUGGAGAAUAUUGAUGUCAAUUUCGAACCAUGGAUGAGAUAUCUUAUGCAUGAUAGCGUGGAUGAGCUGAUUGAUAGCCUACUGGAUUUUGAUGUGACUCGGGAUGUCGUUGGCAACAUGGACCUUUGGAGCUUCGAUGACGUGCCCAUACGUGGCAAAUUUUUCUAA
rnacentral:rRNA from 1 species